rnacentral:rRNA from 1 species
GACGAACGCUGGCGGCGUGCCUAAUACAUGCAAGUUGAGCGAUGAAGAUUGGUUCUUGCACCAAUUUGAAGAGCAGCGAACGGGUGAGUAACGCGUGGGGAAUCUGCCUUUGAGCGGGGGACAACAUUUGGAAACGAAUGCUAAUACCGCAUAACAACUUUAAACAUAAGUUUUAAGUUUGAAAGAUGCAAUUGCAUCACUCAAAGAUGAUCCCGCGUUGUAUUAGCUAGUUGGUGAGGUAAAGGCUCACCAAGGCGAUGAUACAUAGCCGACCUGAGAGGGUGAUCGGCCACAUUGGGACUGAGACACGGCCCAAACUCCUACGGGAGGCAGCAGUAGGGAAUCUUCGGCAAUGGACGAAAGUCUGACCGAGCAACGCCGAGUGAGUGAAGAAGGUUUUCGGAUCGUAAAACUCUGUUGGUAGAGAAGAACGUUGGUGAGAGUGGAAAGCUCAUCAAGUGACGGUAACUACCCAGAAAGGGACGGCUAACUACGUG